rnacentral:rRNA from 1 species
CGCGCGGCGGGCGGGGCGGGGGCACGGGGGGCCUACGGGAGGCAGCAGUGGGGAAUCUUGGACAAUGGGCGAAAGCCUGAUCCAGCGACGCCGCGUGGAGGAAGAAGUCCUUCGGGAUGUAAACUUCUGAACUAGCCGAAUAAAAGGCCUGUGGACACACAGGAGAAGAGAGUAGGCUAGGAAAAGUCCCGGCUAACUACGUGCCAGCAGCCGCGGUAAU